rnacentral:rRNA from 1 species
AUUGAACGCUGGCGGCAGGCCUAACACAUGCAAGUCGAACGGUAGCACAGAGAGCUUGCUCUCGGGUGACGAGUGGCGGACGGGUGAGUAAUGUCUGGGAAACUGCCCGAUGGAGGGGGAUAACUACUGGAAACGGUAGCUAAUACCGCAUAACGUCGCAAGACCAAAGUGGGGGACCUUCGGGCCUCACACCAUCGGAUGUGCCCAGGUGGGAUUAGCUAGUAGGUGGGGUAAUGGCUCACCUAGGCGACGAUCCCUAGCUGGUCUGAGAGGAUGACCAGCCACACUGGAACUGAGACACGGUCCAGACUCCUACGGGAGGCAGCAGUGGGGAAUAUUGCACAAUGGGCGCAAGCCUGAUGCAGCCAUGCCGCGUGUAUGAAGAAGGCCUUCGGGUUGUAAAGUACUUUCAGCGGGGAGGAAGGCGGUGAAGUUAACAGCUUCACCGAUUGACGUUACCCGCAGAAGAAGCACCGGCUAGCUCCGUGCCAGCCGCCGCCGUAA